GAUGAAGAACGUAGCGAAAUGCGAUACUUGGUGUGAAUUGCAGAAUCCCGUGAACCAUCGAGUCUUUGAACGCAAGUUGCGCCCGAAGCCAUCAGGUUGAGGGCACGUCUGCCUGGGCGUCACAUAUCGUUGCCCAAUGCCUAUUGCAGUGCAAUAGGAAUUUCUAGGGCGAAUGAUGGCUUCCCGUGAGCGUUGUUGCCUCGCGGUUGGUGAAAAUCGAGUCCUUGGUAGGGUGUGCCAUGGUAGAUGGUGGUCGAGUUAGAACGAUACCGAUCAUGUGCAUGCUCCCCAAAAUAUGGCCUCUAUGACCCACACGCGUCUUUUGACGCUCAUGACGAGACCUCAGGUCAGGCGGGGCUACCCGCUGAAUUUAAGCAUAUCAAUAAGCGGAGGA
rnacentral:misc_RNA from 1 species